rfam:Eucalyptus grandis cultivar BRASTZ1 unplaced genomic scaffold scaffold_2, whole genome shotgun sequence.
UGCCGAUGAUGCAUUUUGAUGCACGUAUUAUCAGAUUACAGCGUGAUGAUCUGCAAAAUUGUCACUACCUCUGAGGCA